GACGAACGCUGGCGGCGUGCUUAACACAUGCAAGUCGAACGGAAAGGCCCUGCUUUUGUGGGGUGCUCGAGUGGCGAACGGGUGAGUAACACGUGAGUAACCUGCCCUUGACUUUGGGAUAACUUCAGGAAACUGGGGCUAAUACCGGAUAGGAGCUCCUGCUGCAUGGUGGGGGUUGGAAAGUUUCGGCGGUUGGGGAUGGACUCGCGGCUUAUCAGCUUGUUGGUGGGGUAGUGGCUUACCAAGGCUUUGACGGGUAGCCGGCCUGAGAGGGUGACCGGCCACAUUGGGACUGAGAUACGGCCCAGACGCCUACGGGAGGCAGCAGUGGGGAAUAUUGCACAAGGGGCGGAAGCCUGAUGCAGCAACGCCGCGUGCGGGAUGACGGCCUUCGGGUUGUAAACCGCUUUCGCCUGUGACGAAGCGUGAGUGACGGUAAUGGGGAAAGAAGCACCGGCUAACUACGU
rnacentral:rRNA from 1 species